rnacentral:rRNA from 1 species
UACGUAGGGUCCGAGCGUUGUCCGGAAUUAUUGGGCGUAAAGCGUGCGCAGGCGGUUUUGUAAGCCAGAUGUGAAAGCCCCGGGCUUAACCUGGGAAUGGCAUUUGGGACUGCAAGGCUUGAGUGCGGCAGAGGAGACUGGAAUUCCUGGUGUAGCAGUGAAAUGCGUAGAUAUCAGGAGGAAUACCGAUGGCGAAGGCAGGUCUCUGGGCUGACACUGACGCUGAGGAGCGAAAGCAUGGGGAGCGAACAGG